GACAGAGGGUGCAAACGUUGUUCGGAAUUACUGGGCGUAAAGCGCGUGUAGGCGGCUCGGCAAGUCGGGUGUGAAAGCCCUCAGCUUAACUGAGGAAGUGCGCCCGAAACUGCAGAGCUUGAGUACCGGAGAGGAUGGCGGAAUUCCCCAAGUAGAGGUGAAAUUCGUAGAUAUGGGGAGGAACACCGGUGGCGAAGGCGGCCAUCUGGACGGAUACUGACGCUGAGACGCGAAAGCGUGGGUAGCAAACAGG
rnacentral:rRNA from 1 species